AGAGACUGGGCGUAAGCGAGUUUCAGAAACGGGCCCAAAGCCAGCAAGUGCUACCUGUCUGAACAUAGAGGGGCGCAAACGUUUUAGGGCACGACGGUAAUCGAUCACGUCGGAGCAAUUCGUUCCAUGGACGACAUGGCGGCAUACUUCCAACCUCCACCGCCGGGCCUCCACCGCUACGCCUACUACCAACACACUCCUCCUCAUCCUACGCCGCCGCUUGCCCCGGUGGAUCCCUCCCAGCCGCCACUGCACCACCUCCCCCAGCAAUUGCCCCCUUACCCCCAACCCUCGUUGGCCUCCUCCUACACGUCGGCGCUGCAUGCCCAUUCCUCCUUCGACCACGUCCGGACGCUCUUUGUAGCCGGCCUUCCCGAGGAUGUUAAACCCCGCGAAAUCUACAACCUCUUCCGAGAGUUUCCCGGCUACGAGUCUUCGCACCUCCGAACCGCUACUUCUUCUUCGCAGCCAUUUGCUUUUGCUGUAUUCAUGGAUCAACAGUCGGCAGUUACAGCUUUGCAGGCACUCAAUGGAAUGGUGUUUGACCUGGAGAAGGGGUCCACCUUAUACAUCGAUCUUGCAAAAUCUAACUCAAGAUCUAAACGCUCAAGAAUAGAUGAUGGAAAACCUGGAUCAGAGAAGAGAAUAAGAGAAUCUGCUACAUUUGCAAGGGGUGGUUCUGAUACUGGUGUUGGCAGCAUUCUUAUGCCUGGAAUUGGUAAUUCUGCUUACAACACAAUUGGUUAUCCAUCUACACAAAGCUAUGCAAACUUUGAAGGUAGGGCUUUGAAUGAGGCAACCACAGCAAAGAUGAACAACUCCUCAGCACCUCAUAUGUCGCAAAAUGUUACCCCAUGUCCAACUCUAUUUGUGGCUAGUUUAGGGCCAACUUGUUCAGAGGAAGAGCUGAUUCAAGUAUUUUCAAGUUGCCCUGGAUUCCUGAAAUUGAAGAUGCAGAGUACAUAUGGGGCUCCAGUUGCAUUUGUUGACUUUCGGGAUACUGCCUGUUCAACUGAAGCACUGUCUCGGCUGCAAGGCACCAUUCUAUACUCAUCACCACCUGGUGAGGGCAUGCGGUUAGAGUAUGCGAGGUCUAGGAUGGGAAUGCGCAGUAAGAAGUCAAGGUAAAUGCACAGAGUGCAUCAAAGUCAACUGGUCAAUCCUCGGUCGCCAUUGUCAUUCAGGGCAUGGUCAGGUCAAAUUCAUGAGAGUGUGAAUUGGGCUUUUUUCUGAAUUCUGGCAAUGAACUGGCGGAAUUGAAUUACGUUUGUCGUUUGUCUGUCGUAUGGCAUUGAUAUUAAUUUGAAACCCCCUGCUGCUGGGUCUGGGGGUCUGGUGUUGGUUUGUGUGAACUGGAGUUGGCGGCAAAGUAAUUGAAGUCUCUUUCGGAGACUGAAACUAUCGAUCGAUAAUAAAUAAAUGUAAACUAAAAUGAGACAAAAGUCAAACAGCAGUGCAGCAGCUAACUGAAAUUGAUUGACCGCUGUGGCUGUGGCUCAACAACUUCCAAGUAGUCCUUUUCCCCAAUUUUUCUCCAACUAAUUUUGACUUUUCUGUUUUCGCUUUU